rnacentral:rRNA from 1 species
GACGAACCGUACGAACGUUAUUCGGAAUCACUGGGCUUAAAGGGUGCGUAGGCGGCGCUGAAAGUUGGGUGUGAAAUCCCUCGGCUCAACCGAGGAACUGCAUUCAAAACUACAGUGCUUGAGGGAGAUAGAGGUGAGCGGAACUUAGGGUGGAGCGGUGAAAUGCGUUGAUAUCCUAAGGAACACCCGUGGCGAAAGCGGCGUACUGGGUCUUAUCUGACGCUGAGGCACGAAAGCUAGGGGAGCGAACGGG